rnacentral:rRNA from 1 species
UACGGAGGGGGCUAGCGUUGUUCGGAAUUACUGGGCGUAAAGCGCACGUAGGCGGGCUGUUAAGUCGGGGGUGAAAUCCCGGGGCUCAACCCCGGAACUGCCUCCGAUACUGGCGGUCUUGAGUCCGAGAGAGGUGGGUGGAAUUCCGAGUGUAGAGGUGAAAUUCGUAGAUAUUCGGAGGAACACCGGUGGCGAAGGCGGCCCACUGGCUCGGUACUGACGCUGAGGUGCGAAAGCGCGGGGAGCAAACAGG